rnacentral:rRNA from 1 species
AUUGAACGCUGGCGGCAUGCCUUACACAUGCAAGUCGAACGGUAACAGGUCUUCGGAUGCUGACGAGUGGCGAACGGGUGAGUAAUACAUCGGAACGUGCCUAGUAGUGGGGAUAACUACUCGAAAGAGUGGCUAAUACCGCAUGAGAUCUACGGAUGAAAGCAGGGGAUCGCAAGACCUUGUGCUACUAGAGCGGCCGAUGGCCGGUUGGGUAGUUGGAGGGAUAAAAGCUUACCAAGCCGACGAUCUGUAGCUGGUCUGAGAGGACGAUCGGCCACACUGGGACUGGCACCCGGCCCAGACUCCUACGGGAGGCAGCAGUGGGGAAUUUUGGACAAUGGGCGAAAGCCUGAUCCAGCGAUGCCGCGUGCAGGAUGAAGGCCUUCGGGUUGUAAACUGCUUUUGUACGGAACGAAAAGCCCCGGGUUAAUACCCUGGGGUCAUGACGGUACCGUAAGAAUAAGCACCGGCUAACUACGUGCCAGCCGCCGCGGUAA